AUGACUUUCUGCCAGCAGCUAAAGACCUCUUUAUUUAGACAGGACUUUGAACCAUAAACUGAUUUAAGCCAUAACUCUGCCAUAUCUCCUGAAGCAACCUUGAAUCCAUGCAGACAUUCUGAGCCAGGAGAGCCCUUAUCAGAGGGUGGACAUGAGACCCUGGCCUUAUACCGAGUCCUAGGUCAGCCUCCAUCUGGGAUACUGCAACAAGGCCAGGGAAAGGGCCAUCUGCACCCAAGCUUGGAUCCUGACCUUGAACUGCUCUGAUGUUGCCUCCUGCCUUUUGCAAGCUCAGCUUGCUUGGACUCUGGCCCUGGAUGCUGCUCUGUCUGCUUGCCCCAUGGGUAUUGUUGCUGGUAUGUCCCCUGUUUACUUAAGAGCCUAGUGUGAGCAGGACACCUUCUUUUAUUUACAGGGUGAUGGGUGAUUAGACAGUAGUUCUGCCUCCAGAACCUGCCGCCUCAUCCUGUGAUGCCAUCUGUGUUCCCCUCCCUCCUCCAAACUCCAAGCUCUCAUCACCUUCUAAUGAUGUUCCGUGCUCACUCCUUCCUGCACCAUGUAAUCAAUAUGUCUCUAGGUCAAUAUGUGCAUAGGUCACAGGUGGAGCCAACUCCAAUCAUCCUACUCCUCUUUGUCUAUAGGGCUGAUGAGUUAAAGGCAAACAACCCCUGGAGGGCCACAGGUUCAUCACUACUUCCCUGGGAAUGGCUACAAUACGAGUCCACCUGUACUACUUUACUGCUCCUCUGUGUCAGAUAACUGUGGAACGAGUGUACUUUUUUAUCUCCUGCCUGAAAUUCAUCAACAUCGUAAGACAGAAUUUGCGCUUUCCAGAAUUAAUAAUUACUUUCAAAGAUGUUUUUGAGGAAUAUCUAAGUGAAAGAGUUGUACGAUUGCUGUCAUGAGAAAAUCUUGUAAAAAAUAUU